CAUUCUUGUACUUCUCGUUCUUCUCCAGGUUCUCGGGAGUCGCAUGCAAAUGAAAACAUUGUUCGUUACAGAAGACCAGACUUUUAUGCGCUAUACAACACAUUGUAAUUAAUGUGGUGACCUGCAGGUCAUUCCCACUGGACUGGACUCUAAUAAUGUAAUGGUAGAUCGUAUCAAUCUUUCUUCUUACGUAAACUGGUGGAUAAAUCUAUGACAAAAGUGAAUGCAACUACGUCUGUCUGUAUGUAUGUAAGUAAUAUAAGUUCAACAACACAAUGCCACACAAUUUGCAUAUAAACAUUUUUCCGACAUCUGCACGUCCUAAUAAUUGGUCGUUAUAUUAUACCCACUACUAAAUAAAAAAGUACAACCUCCUCACCUGCAAUGAAAUGAAGUAAACAGCUCAGUCAAUAACCGGUACCUCACUAAUACCUCUUCUUCUAAUCAAAUCAGGCCCAUCACUCAGCCAACAUGCACCACUACUUUACACACGUAUGUACAAGACAAUCUUACUAUUUAUCAACUAGCUAUCUAGUUAUAAUAGCUUUAGAAUUGCGAGUAUUUUUCCGUUCGCAAAAGGGUUAACACACUAACACGACCUCGCAUUUAUUCUUCUCAUACCAUUACGUAUGCCAUAAAAAGUUGAAGAUGUGCAUGUGUUGUGUGCACCUGUGCUCGUCUGGUUAAACCCAUUGUGUGACUUUAACAAAAUAUUUGAAAAUUUUGUAAGAAACUUCAAGUUACCUGUCCAAAGAAUAUAAUAAAUAAUAAUAGUUUACACAAAAA